rnacentral:rRNA from 1 species
AAAGUAUCCUACGUGUAGGAUUUUGUAUGUACCGUAUGAAUAAGCAUCGGCUAACUCCGUGCCAGCAGCCGCGGUAAUACGGAGGAUGCGAGCGUUAUCCGGAUUUAUUGGGUUUAAAGGGAGCGCAGACGGGAGAUUAAGUCAGUUGUGAAAGUUUGCGGCUCAACCGUAAAGUUGCAGUUGAUACUGGUUUCCUUGAGUGCAGUUGAGGCAGGCGGAAUUCGUGGUGUAGCGGUGAAAUGCUUAGAUAUCACGAAGAACCCCGAUUGCGAAGGCAGCUUGCUAAACUGUAACUGACGUUCAUGCUCGAAAGUGUGGGUAUCAAACAGGAUUAGAUACCCUGGUAGUCCACACGGUAAACGAUGGAUACUCGCUGUUGGCGAUAUACUGUCAGCGGCCAAGCGAAAGCAUUAAGUACUCCCGACCUGGGGAGUACGCCGGCAACGGUGAAACUCAAAGGAAUUGACGGGGCCCGNACAAGCGAGGACAUGUGGUUAAUUCGAUGAUACGCGACGGAACCUUACCGGGUUAAC